rnacentral:rRNA from 1 species
AGGUAGUAAUAAUAUUUUAAACCUAUAUAUAAUGGCGGCAAUUAAUCUAAUUAGAGGAACAUGUUUUAUAACCGAUAAUCCACGUUAUUUUUCACUUUUACUUAAAGUUUAUAUAUCUCCAUCUUAAGAAAUAAUUUUAUAAUUCUAUUCAUAAUAAUAAUCUAACAAGUUAGGUCAAGGUGUAACCUAUGUUCAAGAAAAAAUGUGUUACUAUAAAAACAAUUUAAGAAAGUUUUUUCAAAAAUUUUACAGAAAAAGGAUUUAAUAGUAAUUUAUAAAAAAUAUUUAUAAUCGACCCAGAUAAUAAUUGUGC